CCUGGUAUCGUCUAGUGGUUAGGACACCAGGUUUUGAUCUGCCUGAUGUCCUGGUAACCUGGGUUCGACUCCCAGUACCAGGU
rnacentral:tRNA from 1 species